UACGUAGGGUGCGAGCGUUAAUCGGAAUUACUGGGCGUAAAGCGUGCGCAGGCGGUUCUGCAAGUCAGAUGUGAAAGCCCCGGGCUCAACCUGGGAAUUGCAUUUGAAACUACAGGGCUAGAGUGUGUCAGAGGGGGGUAGAAUUCCACGUGUAGCAGUGAAAUGCGUAGAGAUGUGGAGGAAUACCGAUGGCGAAGGCAGCCCCCUGGGAUAACACUGACGCUCAUGCACGAAAGCGUGGGGAGCAAACAGG
rnacentral:rRNA from 1 species